rnacentral:piRNA from 1 species
UGUAUUGCUGUUGAGGAUGCGAAGCGC